rnacentral:rRNA from 1 species
GUCUAUAUGAUGGUUUAUAUAGUCUGGCCUGCUCACUGAAUAAAAAUUUAAAGAGCCGCGGUAAUUUGACCGUGCAAAGGUAGCAUAAUCAUUAGUUUUUUAAUUGAAAACUUGUAUGAAUGGUUAAACAAAAGAAAUUCUGUCUCUUUUUUAUAAAUUGAAUUUAACUUUUAAGUGAAAAGGCUUAAAUUUUUUAGGGGGACGAUAAGACCCUAUAAAGUUUUAUAAAAAUAUAAUAAUUUUUUAAUAUAAUAAAAAAAUAUAUUUUAUUUUUAUUUUAUUGGGGCGAUAUAGAUAUAAAUACAAUUAACUGUUAUUAUAAAAACCAUUAAUAUAUGAUAAAAAUAAAUGAUCCUCAAUUUAGAGAUUAAAAGAUGAAAUUACUUUAGGGAUAACAGCGUUAUUUCUUUUAAGAGUUCUUAUUGAAAAAGAAGUUUGCGACCUCGAUGUUGAAUUAAAAAAUCUUUACAAUGCAGCCGUUGUAAGAAGAAGGUCUGUUCGACCUUUAAAAUUUUACA